rnacentral:misc_RNA from 1 species
AUGCUCGGGGGUCCGGGAGGUCCCGGGGGCGACAAGCACGCGCACGACCGUGUCCGAGGGUCUCUCAACCACCGCUUGUCGUGGCGACCGUCGCCGGGGACUCGAUUUUAGGCCAACCACGGGCGGGAGCGCGCGGGAGACCAGUAUCCGCCCCCGCCCUCGUGAGCCGAGGGGAGGGGGGCGACGAUGCGUGACACCCAGGCAGACGUGCCCUCGACCAGGAGGCCUCGGGCGCAACUUGCGUUCAAAGACUCGAUGGUUCACGGGAUUCUGCAAUUCACACCAAGUAUCGCAUUUCGCUACGUUCUUCAUCGAUGCGAGAGCCGAGAUAUCCGUUGCCGAGAGUCGUUCAGAUUAUCACAAAAAGAAGGCGCGCCCCCGACACCGAGGCUACGAGGGCGUGCUCCUGGUACUCCAUUUCCUUGGCGCUUCUCGCGCCGGGGUUCGUUGGCGAGCCGUGUCGGGCGCGGACGCGUCCCUCCACGGCACGCGUGGACGCGAGGGGCGGGUGCCCCCCGAGCCCAGCUUGUCAUGCCACGGGUUCGCGGGU